rnacentral:rRNA from 1 species
GACAGAGGUGCCGAGCGUUAGGCGGAAUCACUGGGCUUAAAGCGUGUGUAGGCGGACCGUUAAGUACCUUGUGAAAUCCCACGGCUCAACCGUGGAACGGCUGGGUAUACUGGCGGUCUUGGGCAACCCAGGGGCUGUCGGAACAAGCGGUGGAGCGGUGAAAUGCGUAGAUAUCGCUUGGAACGCCGGCGGUGAAAACGGCGCGCUGGACCACUACUGACGCUGAGGAACGAAAGCUAGGGGAGCAAACAGG